GAAUCAACGCUGGCGGCGUGCCUAACACAUGCAAGUCGCGCGCGAAAAGGGGGCAACCCCUCGAGUAGAGCGGCGAACGGGUGAGUAACACGUGGGUAAGUCUACCUUCGAGUGGGGAACGAACAUCGGGAAACGUAGGUGCUAAUUCCGCAUGACAUCGUCGGGGCGUUCGGUUCUGACGAUCAAAGACUGGGGAGUCGCAAGACCUAGCGCUUGAAGAUGAGCCCGCGUCCGAUUAGCUAGUUGGCGGGGUAAG
rnacentral:rRNA from 1 species